rnacentral:rRNA from 1 species
CUGGCUCAGAGCGAACGCUGGCGGCAGGCCUAACACAUGCAAGUCGAGCGCCCGUAGCAAUACGGGAGCGGCAGACGGGAGAGUAACACGUGGGAACGCGCCCUUCGGUUCGGAAUAACUCAGGGAAACUUGAGCUAAUACCGGAUACGCCCUUACGGGGAAAGAUUUAUUGCCGAAGGAACGGCCCGCGUCCGAUUAGCUUGUUGGUGAGGUAAUGGCUCACCAAGGCGACGAUCGGUAGCUGGUCUGAGAGGAUGACCAGCCUCACUGGGACUGAGACACGGCCCAGACUCCUACGGGAGGCAGCAGUGGGGAAUAUUGGACAAUGGGCGCAAGCCUGAUCCAGCCAUGCCGCGUGGAUGAUGAAGGCCCUAGGGUUGUAAAGUCCUUUCGGCGGGGAAGAUAAUGACGGUACCCGCAGAAGAAGCCCCGGCUAACUUCGUGCCAGCCGCCGC